UUGGAGGGCAAGUCUGGUGCCAGCAGCCGCGGUAAUUCCAGCUCCAAUAGCGUAUAUUAAAGUUGUUGCAGUUAAAAAGCUCGUAGUUGAAUUUCGGGGUUAGUAGGUUGGUCAUGCCUCUGGUAUGUACUGGUCUCACUGAUUCCUCCUUCCUGAUGAAUCUUAAUGCCAUUAAUUUGGUGUUUUGGGGAAUUUGGACUGUUACUUUGAAAAAAUUAGAGUGUUUAAAGCAAGCUAACGCUUGAAUACAUUAGCAUGGAAUAAUGAAAUAGGACGUUCGAUCCUAUUUUGUUGGUUUCUAGGAUUGACGUAAUGAUUAAUAGGGAUAGUUGGGGGCAUUAGUAUUCAAUUGUCAGAGGUGAAAUUCUUGGAUUUAUUGAAGACUAACUACUGCGAAAGCAUUUGCCAAGGAUGUUUUCAUUAAUCAAGAACGAAAGUUAGGGGAUCGAAGACGAUCAGAUACCGUCGUAGUCUUAACCAUAAACUAUGCCGACUAGGGGUCGGAUGAUGUUAAUUUUUUAAUGACUCAUUCGGCGCCUUACGGGAAACCAAAGUGUUUGGGUUC
rnacentral:rRNA from 1 species